AAAGGUGUGAAAGCGUCCUGCACAGUUGUAACAAAACCAAAGGCCUUUGCAAAGACAGUGCCGGCGGUCAGCACCGUCCGAGGGUGGAGUUUUCAGUCCUCUGACGUCAGAAGUCACUGAGCCGAAGCUCAAGCACAUGUGUGCCCAGGUGGAGGAGGGUCGGUGGUCCUUGACAGUUUUAACCAGCUCAGCUGAAACUAGACACGGCUGACUCCCAAGUUCCUGGAAGACAACUCGGGCAAACGUCUUACUGUUUAGGCUUCGCGCCAGUUGAAGGACAUGCAAGUUUUGUAGAGCUCCUUGAUUACCGAAGGCGGGUGAAAUGGAUUUGACUAAGACUUACCCUCCAUUUCAGAGCUAUGAACAAAAGUAAGAUGUGAGCUUUGACCUUAGGAAGCCGUCUCAGUGUCUAACAAGGAGGCAGAGGCUACCUGAGUUCAUUGUCCCUGGAGAUGGACCAAACAGAAGGGCAAGCAGUGUGUUCUGGAGAGUGGAAGUCCAAGAUCAAGGUGCCAGCAGGAUUGGUGUCAGAUUUGACUGUAAGAAGAAUUGAAGAACCCUGUAAAAACUGUAAAAAUGCCUCUGCCAAACUGUAAAUAACAGUAUUCACUUAACAAAAGUGUCUUACUUUUUGUAAUGUCUCUAAAAUAGCAGUUCUCAAACUUCUUGGCCUUGGAAUCUCUUUUAAAUUCAUUAAUUAUUUAGUACACCAAAGGGCUUUUGUUUAUGAGGAUUAUAUCAAUAAGUAUUUACUAAAUUAAAAGUUAAACUUGA